rnacentral:rRNA from 1 species
AUUGAACGCUGGCGGCAUGCUUUACACAUGCAAGUCGAACGGUAACAGGCCGCAAGGCGCUGACGAGUGGCGAACGGGUGAGUAAUGCAUCGGAACGUGCCCAGGCGUGGGGGAUAACGCAGCGAAAGCUGCGCUAAUACCGCAUACGAUCUAUGGAUGAAAGCGGGGGACCGUAAGGCCUCGCGCGAUUGGAGCGGCCGAUGUCGGAUUAGGUAGUUGGUGGGGUAAAGGCUCACCAAGCCAACGAUCUGUAGGUGGGCUCAGAGGACGACCAGCCAAACUGGGACUGAGACACGGCCCAGACUCCUACGGGAGGCAGCAGUGGGGAAUUUUGGACAAUGGGCGCAAGCCUGAUCCAGCAAUGCCGCGUGCAGGAAGAAGGCCUUCGGGUUGUAAACUGCUUUUGUACGGAACGAAACGGCUCUGGUUAAUACCUGGGGCUAAUGACGGUACCGUAAGAAUAAGCACCGGCUAACUACGUGCCAGCCGCCGCGGUAAGAC